CUGAACCAGCCAAGUAGCGUGAAGGAUGACUGCCCUAUGGGUUGUAAACUUCUUUUAUACGGGAAUAAAGUGAGGCACGUGUGGCUUUUUGUAUGUACCGUAUGAAUAAGGAUCGGCUAACUCCGUGCCAGCAGCCGCGGUAAUACGGAGGAUCCGAGCGUUAUCCGGAUUUAUUGGGUUUAAAGGGAGCGUAGGCGGACGCUUAAGUCAGUUGUGAAAGUUUGCGG
rnacentral:rRNA from 1 species